rnacentral:rRNA from 1 species
CGUGUAGGCGGCCGAGUGUGUCUUAUGUGAAAGCCCCAGGCUUAACCUGGGAAGUGCAUGGGAAACUACUUGGCUUGAGUGUGAGAGAGGAUGGCAGAAUUCCCAGAGUAGAGGUGAAAUUCGUAGAUACUGGGAGGAAUACCUGAGGCGAAGGCGGCCAUCUGGCUCACUACUGACGCUGAGACGCGAAAGCGUGGGGAGCAAACAGGAUUAGAUACCCUGGUAGUCC